AAAUUUAAAUGUUCAUUCUGAGGCUUAUUUGGCACUGAUGCUAUAAAGGUGCAUGAUACAGACUAUGGUAAGUGCACAAAACAUCUUUUUGGACAAGGCACAAAAUCAGUGUACAUAUAGUAGAGUAUAGUGGUGGUUGCAGGGCUGUCUAGCUGUGCAGAUUUUUGUGUGAGAAUACGGGAGCCAGGGAAGAGUUUGGAGGAAAGAGCCAUUCUUUUAUUGGUUAGAUAUAAUUAGCUUGAGGCAUCAAAAAGUUCCAAAACAGGGCUAGUCUCUGCUGCUGAAAGCGCAACCCCAAUUGUAGCGCAUCUUCAGCUGCAGUUAAUUAAUACA
rnacentral:lncRNA from 1 species